GUAGGGAAUAUUGGGCAAUGGUCGGAAGACUGACCCAGCCAUGCCGCGUGCAGGAAGACGGCCCUCUGGGUUGUAAACUGCUUUUAUCUGGGAAGAAAAAGGCCAUGCGUGGCAAAUUGCCGGUACCAGAUGAAUAAGCACCGGCUAACUCCGUGCCAGCAGCCGCGGUAAUACGGAGGGUGCGAGCGUUUUCCGGAUUUAUUGGGUUUAAAGGGUGCGUAGGCGGCUGAUUAAGUCAGCGGUGAAAGACUUCGGCUUAACCGGAGCAGUGCCGUUGAUACUGGUUGGCUUGAGUGUCGGAGGGGUACAUGGAAUUGAUGGUGUAGCGGUGAAAUGCAUAGAUACCAUCAGGAACACCGAUAGCGAAGGCAUUGUACUGGCCGACAACUGACGCUGAUGCACGAAAGUGUGGGGAUCGAACAGGAUUAGAUACCCGGGUAGUCC
rnacentral:rRNA from 1 species